CCUACGGGUGGCAGCAGUGAGGAAUAUUGGUCAAUGGGCGAGAGCCUGAACCAGCCAAGUCGCGUGAGGGAUGACGGUCCUAUGGAUUGUAAACCUCUUUUGUCGGGGAACAAAGGCGUCCACGUGUGGACUGAUGAGCGUACCCGAACAAAAAGCAUCCGCAAACUCCGUGACAGCAGCCGCGGUAAUACGGAGGAUGCGAGCGUUAUCCGGAUUUAUUGGGUUUAAAGGGUGCGUAGGCGGACAGUCAAGUCAGCGGUAAAAAUGAGGUGCUCAACGCCGUACAGCCGUUGAAACUGGCAGUCUUGAGUGGGCGAGAGGUAUGCGGAAUGCGUGGUGUAGCGGUGAAAUGCAUAGAUAUCACGCAGAACACCGAUUGCGAGGGCAGCAUACCGGCGCCCUACUGACGCUGAGGCACGAAAGCGUGGGUAUCGAACAGGAUUAGAUACCCGUGUAGUC
rnacentral:rRNA from 1 species